rnacentral:hammerhead_ribozyme from 1 species
GCAUUACUGAGGCGUCCCAUAAUGGGACGAAACGGCCGUCCAAUGC